CAUCUCCAUGUGAAGGAACAAAGGGAGAACCAAUGAAAGAAAAGGGAAGUAUUGGGCAGCAUUCUAAGACAAUACAUGUUGCAUCAGUUUCUCAAAGGUAAACGCCUUGACGAAUAUGUGUGAGAUAUUAUUAGAUUGAAAGUGUAAUAGCUAUAAUAGUCAAUCUUCCUCUAUUAUGGCAAGCUAUUUGAGAAAGUCUCAUGACACCUUUAUGGAAGGAUUGGAGAGAAGUGGAUUGGAUAAUAGGCUUAAAGAUGCUUCAUAGCUGGUUGGUGGACUCAACAGAGUGUUAAUUGAUGAAUACCUGCUCAUGCGGACCCCGGAGUGUCCAGGAAAACAGAGAGCUCACGUUCUCCGAACAUGUUAGGGCUUUCACAGCCUUUUCUGAUUUUCAUUCUUACGAACCAAUGAGGUAGAUUUUUUUUUUCAAGGCAAUUUUACCCCUGUAAUAGAAGUAGGAUUUCUUUUGUUUUUAUUGUGAAAACCAUUAUGUCUCUUGGAAAAUAAAAGCUUAGAAAUUACAGUAAAAAACACCUUUGCUAUCAACAGGAAGCUACUCACAUUUUAAUAUAUAUUCUUCCAGGCAUAGGACAGUCUUCUGAACAAGAAAUGUUGCAUCAACCUAACCUGUCCUGCUUCACUACUGUACUGUGUGUGCACAUUUUUCAUGUAAUUAUUUGUCAUUGGUUGUUUUAUUUUUGUGGGUUUUCUGGUCUUGUAUAUUACCAUAUUUAAUUUAUUCUCCAAAAUAAAGUCUUUUGUUCACCUAUAUGUGGCAAAUAUUUACUUUUUAACUUUUAAAGUAUGUUUUUAUAUAAAAGUUUUAACUUUAUGUAACGUUCAUCAGUCUUUUGUGUAGUUGUUUCUACCUUUGAUAUUAGAUUCCAAAGGCCUUUCCCAUGCAGCUUAUAUAAAACUAUGUACAUUGAUUUUCUUCCAAUCAUUUUUACAUUACUAAUUUAAUGCAGUGUAAGAGACUAUGCUUAUGAGCUAUAGAUCUGACUCUUUUUCAUUCUUAAAUGAUUAUCCAGUUGUCCCAGCCCCAACUUUGAAUAAUCCAUCUUUCCUUCUGCUUUUAAAUAUAUUUUUGUUAUAUGAAAAACUCCCCUGUGUAAUUCUUUCUGUUUUUAUCAUCUGUAUUCUUUAUCAUGGAUCUUUCUGCCCAUUUAUUUACUGGUGCCAAUAUUUUAAUUAUGAGUUCACAAGAUAUAUUAUUAUCUUAAGAAAGUACCAC
rnacentral:lncRNA from 1 species